CUGACGAGUUCCAAAUAGGACGAAACGCGCGUC
rfam:Schistosoma rodhaini strain Burundi genome assembly, scaffold: SROB_scaffold0004801